UCGGGAAUUUUGUCCAAUGGGGGAAACCCUGAGACAGCAACGCCGCGUGAGGGAUGAAGGCCUUCGGGUCGUAAACCUCUGUCAGGAGGGAAGAAAGCUUCAGUGCAAAUAGUUCUGAAGUCUGACGGUACCUCCAAAGGAAGGACCGGCUAACUCCGUGCCAGCAGCCGCGGUAAUACGGAGGGUCCAAGCGUUGUUCGGAAUCAUUGGGCGUAAAGCGGGUGCAGGCGGUGGAGUAAGUCGGAUGUGAAAUCCCGGGGCCCAACCCCGGAACUGCAUUCGAUACUGCUUCACUAGAGUCCCGGAGAGGAAGGCGGAAUUCCCGGUGUAGAGGUGAAAUUCGUAGAUAUCGGGAGGAACACCAGUGGCGAAGGCGGCCUUCUGGACGGUGACUGACGCUCAGACCCGAAAGCGUGGGGAGCAAACAGGAUUAGAUACCCCCGUAGUCC
rnacentral:rRNA from 1 species